rnacentral:snRNA from 1 species
CUGCUUGACUUGGCAGCACAUAUUGGAAUGAAAAUUGGAACAACUCAAUGAAGAUUAGCAUGAUUCUGCACAAGGAUGCCAUCCAAAUACAUCAAGUGUUCCGUUUUUAA